rnacentral:rRNA from 1 species
UACGUAGGGUGCGAGCGUUGUCCGGAAUUACUGGGCGUAAAGAGCUCGUAGGUGGUUUGUCACGUUGUUCGUGAAAACCCACAGCUCAACUGUGGGCGUGCGAGCGAUACGGGCAGACUAGAGUACUGCAGGGGGAGACUGGAAUUCCUGGUGUAGCGGUGGAAUGCGCAGAUAUCAGGAGGAACACCGGUGGCGAAGGCGGGUCUCUGGGCAGUAACUGACGCUGAGGAGCGAAAGCGUGGGGAGCGAACAGG